AACGAACGCUGGCGGCAUGCCUAACACAUGCAAGUCGAACGAGACCUUCGGGUCUAGUGGCGCACGGGUGCGUAACGCGUGGGAACCUGCCCUUAGGUUCGGAAUAACUCCCCGAAAGGGGUGCUAAUACCGGAUAAUGUCUUCGGACCAAAGAUUUAUCGCCUUUGGAUGGGCCCGCGUUGGAUUAGCUAGUUGGUAGGGUAAAAGCCUACCAAGGCGACGAUCCAUACCUGGUCUGAGAGGAUGAUCAGCCACACUGGGACUGAGACACGGCCCAGACUCCUACGGGAGGCAGCAGUGGGGAAUAUUGGACAAUGGACGAAAGCCUGAGCCAGCAAUGCCGCGUGAGUGAUGAAGGCCUUAGGGUUGUAAAGCUCUUUUACCCGGGAUGAUAAUGACAGUACCGGGAGAAUAAGCUCCGGCUAACUCCGUG
rnacentral:rRNA from 1 species